rnacentral:rRNA from 1 species
GACGGGUGAGUAACGCGUGAGGAACCUGCCUCAAAGAGGGGGACAACAGUUGGAAACGACUGCUAAUACCGCAUAAGCCCACGACCCGGCAUCGGGAAGAGGGAAAAGGAGCAAUCCGCUUUGAGAUGGCCUCGCGUCCGAUUAGCUAGUUGGUGAGGUAACGGCCCACCAAGGCAACGAUCGGUAGCCGGACUGAGAGGUUGAACGGCCACAUUGGGACUGAGACACGGCCCAG